GUGCGCCCCUGCUUCCCCUCCUCCUGCUUCACCGAGAUCACCACCGGGGCUCCUGGAGGUGGCGGUCCCCAGGACACUCCGGGAGCCGGCGGGGUCUCGCUGGGUCGCUCCGCCCGGAGGCUCCCCAGACCCCUGCGCGCGGCAGCCCUGGCCCCCGUCACCCCCGAGCGCAAGUCGGCGAACUCCGAGUGGUCAGGUCCUCCCCACCGAGGUGAUUUCGGUCCAACGGCGAUCGGAGUCCCCGAGGACGGUGCAGGCGCCUCCCGCCUCCGUGGGGAGCGCACAGCAGAAAGCCUGGGGCGGAAGCAAGAGGGGAAAGGCGGUGGUGUUGAGUCACUUCAUCCUGGCCCAGGUACUGCAGCUCCAAAUCGUGGGGAUUCUGUAAGAGCUUGCUACCUGUUGACUGAGGAGGCCCACGAGUUGAGAAGAACUAGCAAGAGUGGUACAAAACUGCAGGUCAUUGGGCUGGCCACCAGGUAUUCCCACCCACCAGAAGCUGGCUGUUGUACUCACCCGGAACCAUGGUGCACCACCACAGCGGCGAGGUCAUACAGGCAGCUCU
ensembl:lncRNA USP3-AS1 USP3 antisense RNA 1